rnacentral:rRNA from 1 species
UAGUGGCGAACGGGUGAGUAACACGUGGGCAAUCUGCCCUUCACUCUGGGACAAGCCCUGGAAACGGGGUCUAAUACCGGAUAACACCUGCCCGGGCAUCUGGGUGGGUUAAAAGCUCCGGCGGUGAAGGAUGAGCCCGCGGCCUAUCAGCUUGUUGGUGAGGUAGUGGCUCACCAAGGCGACGACGGGUAGCCGGCCUGAGAGGGCGACCGGCCACACUGGGACUGAGACACGGCCCAGACUCCUACGGGAGGCAGCAGUGGGGAAUAUUGCACAAUGGGCGAAAGCCUGAUGCAGCGACGCCGCGUGAGGGAUGACGGCCUUCGGGUUGUAAACCUCUUUCAGCAGGGAAGAAGCGAAAGUGACGGUACCUGCAGAAGAAGCGCCGGCUAACUACGUGCCAGCAGCCGCGGUAAUACGUAGGGCGCAAGCGUUGUCCGGANUUAUUGGGCGUAAAGAGCUCGUAGGCGGCUUGUCACGUCGGGUGUGAAAGCCCGGGGCUUAACCCCGGGUCUGCAUUCGAUACGGGCUAGCUAGAGUGUGGUAGGGGAGAUCGGAAUUCCU